GACGAACGCUGGCGGCGUGCUUAACACAUGCAAGUCGAACGGAAAGGCCCUGCUUUUGUGGGGUGCUCGAGUGGCGAACGGGUGAGUAACACGUGAGUAACCUGCCCUUGACUUUGGGAUAACUUCAGGAAACUGGGGCUAAUACCGGAUAGGAGCUCCUGCUGCAUGGUGGGGGUUGGAAAGUUUCGGCGGUUGGGGAUGGACUCGCGGCUUAUCAGCUUGUUGGUGGGGUAGUGGCUUACCAAGGCUUUGACGGGUAGCCGGCCUGAGAGGGUGACCGGCCACAUUGGGCCUGGGGUACGGCCCAGACUCCUACGGGAGGCAGCAGUGGGGAAUAUUGCACACUGGGCGGAAGCCUGAUGCAGCAACGCCGCGUGCGGGAUGACGGCCUUCGGGUUGUAAACCGCUUUCGCCUGUGACGAAGCGUGAGUGACGGUAAUGGGUAAAGAAGCACCGGCUAACUACGUG
rnacentral:rRNA from 1 species